CGAUGAACCUCCUUCGGGAGGGGAUUAGUGGCGAACGGGUGAGUAACACGUGGGCAAUCUGCCCUGCACUCUGGGACAAGCCCUGGAAACGGGGUCUAAUACCGGAUACGAGCUUCACAGGCAUCUGGGAGUCUGGAAAGCUCCGGCGGUGCAGGAUGAGCCCGCGGCCUAUCAGCUUGUUGGUGAGGUAACGGCUCACCAAGGCGACGACGGGUAGCCGGCCUGAGAGGGCGACCGGCCACACUGGGACUGAGACACGGCCCAGACUCCUACGGGAGGCAGCAGUGGGGAAUAUUGCACAAUGGGCGCAAGCCUGAUGCAGCGACGCCGCGUGAGGGAUGACGGCCUUCGGGUUGUAAACCUCUUUCAGCAGGGAAGAAGCGAAAGUGACGGUACCUGCAGAAGAAGCGCCGGCUAACUACGUGCCAGCAGCCGCGGUAAUACGUAGGGCGCAAGCGUUGUCCGGAAUUAUUGGGCGUAAAGAGCUCGUAGGCGGCUUGUCGCGUCGGAUGUGAAAGCCCGGGGCUUAACCCCGGGUCUGCAUUCGAUACGGGCAGGCUAGAGUUCGGUAGGGGAGAUCGGAAUUCCUGGUGUAGCGGUGAAAUGCGCAGAUAUCAGGAGGAACACCGGUGGCGAAGGCGGAUCUCUGGGCCGAUACUGACGCUGAGGAGCGAAAGCGUGGGGAGCGAACAGGAUUAGAUACCCUGGUAGUCCACGCCGUAAACGGUGGGCACUAGGUGUGGGCAACAUUCCACGUUGUCCGUGCCGCAGCUAACGCAUUAAGUGCCCCGCCUGGGGAGUAC
rnacentral:rRNA from 1 species